AACGAACGCUGGCGGCAUGCCUAACACAUGCAAGUCGAACGAGACCUUCGGGUCUAGUGGCGCACGGGUGCGUAACGCGUGGGAACCUGCCCUUAGGUUCGGAAUAACUCCCCGAAAGGGGUGCUAAUACCGGAUAAUGUCUUCGGACCAAAGAUUUAUCGCCUUUGGAUGGGCCCGCGUUGGAUUAGCUAGUUGGUAGGGUAAAAGCCUACCAAGGCGACGAUCCAUAGCUGGUCUGAGAGGAUGAUCAGCCACACUGGGACUGAGACACGGCCCAGACUCCUACAGGAGGCAGCAGUGGGGAAUAUUGGACAAUGGGCGAAAGCCUGAUCCAGCAAUGCCGCGUGAGUGAUGAAGGCCUUAGGGUUGUAAAGCUCUUUUACCCGGGAUGAUAAUGACAGUACCGGGAGAAUAAGCUCCGGCUAACUCCGU
rnacentral:rRNA from 1 species